rnacentral:rRNA from 1 species
UAGCGUAGGGGGCAAGCGUUGUCCGGAUUUAUUGGGCGUAAAGAGCGUGUAGGCGGCCGUACAGGUCAGCUGUGAAAACUCGAGGCUCAACCUCGAGACGUCGGUUGAAACCGGUACGGCUAGAGUCCGGAAGAGGAGAGUGGAAUUCCCGGUGUAGCGGUGAAAUGCGCAGAUAUCGGGAAGAACACCCGUGGCGAAGGCGGCUCUCUGGGACGGUACUGACGCUGAGACGCGAAAGCGUGGGGGAGCGAACAGG